rnacentral:tRNA from 1 species
GCAUUAGCUGUCCGCUCUCAGGUUGGGCAGUAAGG